AUGAGGAAUUCUGCAAAACAGAGCCUUGACACCACAGUAUUAUUUGCUCAUUCACCAAGCACUGCUGGCACUUCUUAUUUUUGGAGAUCGAAUGUGCCUCUGUGGGCACUGGAGCAACCGCACAAAGGAUCCUGGAAUAGCAGGGCUGGUGGCGGGGGGGGGGGGGGGGGGGGGGGGGGGGGGUGUCCAAGGGUGGAAUCUGAGGCUUGGGUCCUGGACAUCUGCCUCCUCCCCAUUUUUAGAGAUGUGCUCCUGGGUCAUUUACCCAACCAUCAGAGCUGGCACGUAUGGAGGGCCCACUGCAUGCCAGACACAAUUCAAAGCGCCUUCCUGACACCUCCAUCGUGGAUGUGGGACCCUGGGGUGACCGGGCUGGGUUUUCUCCGGGAGCUGUCUGCUGAGCUCAGGGUACGUGAAGAUCUCCUCCAUCAUAGAAAAUCCGUUGAGCACGAAGUUGAUCUACAGUCUGUCAAAAAAUCGUUUAGCAGCCCACAGACAGCUUCUCUGACAAGGGUGAUAGCUACCUCUAAAGAAUGGGUUUCCUGGGGCGCCUGGAUGGCCCAGUCAGUUAAGCGUCUGCCUUCAGCUCGGGUCAUGAUCUCGAGGUCCUGGGACGGAGCCCCUUGUCCUGGGAUCGAGUCCUGCAUGGUGCUCCCUGCUGAGCAGGGAGUCUGCUUCUCCCUCUCCCUCUGCCACCUGCCCCUGGCUUGUGCUCUCUCUGCCUCUCUCAAAUAAAUAAAAUCUUAAAAAAAUAAAAAUAAAUAAAAACAUAAAUCAUAUCAUGUCUCUCUCUCUCUUUAAAAGAACGAGUUUCCGGGAUCCCUGGGUGGCGCAGCGGUUUAGCGCCUGCCUUUGGCCCAGGGCGUGAUCCUGGAGACCCGGGAUCGAAUCCCACGUCGGGCUCCCAGUGCAUGGAGCCUGCUUCUCCCUCUGCCUAUGUCUCUGCCUCUCUCUCUCACUGUGUGCCUAUCAUAAAUAAAUUAAAAAAAAAAAAAAAAAAAAAAAAUUUUAAAAAAAAAAAAUAAAAGAACGAGUUUCCUGGGGGGGCUGGCAAAUAUUCCGAAGGCAAGGCUCAGGUAAGGGUGUGGCUUCACACUCUGGUGACAGGACAUGGAAUUAAACAAAUAAACAAACAAAAACUAUCUUAGAAUUGAGUGUUCUAUUUUUUUUUUUUUUUUUAGGAUCGAGUGUUCUAAAAACGAGAGCUUGGGUGCCCAGUCGGUGGCUGCACUAUCUUACUUAACCCUUAUGACAACCGUGUCGUCACCGCCACCAACCAAUGGCGCCACUUACAGAGAGGAGGUUGGCACCACCAGGCGACCAGGCUUUUUGUGUUCUUACCUCUCCACCUCCUCCCUGGCCUGGAACUUCCGUCCUUAAAGAUUCAAGAUGAGCAUCUGUUGUUAGAUUUCGGAAUCCGGUUAGGGGUCUAGGCUCCAGCACUCCCCGGGGAGGCAGGGGCAGCAUAAGGCCCUGUGGAUAAUGGUGCAUUGUGCCGAGGAUGGAGUAUGAACAGCUGAAUAUCAGUGGUCAUUCUCUAAGAAUCCUCGGGUUUUUUAAUGUGCCAUGAGAUUGCAUUAUUCUGGAAUAAUCCUGAAAUAAGAUAAAAUACCUAUCAUAAAGUAAGUAACACAAAGCUUACCGAAGCAGGUUUGUAUACUGUUCACUACACUUUGGCUGUCGCCUGAUGGCCGGAGGGCUCUAUUUUUCCAGAGGUGGCCAGGGCCAUGCGAACUCAGCCUUCCUCCCUAACCCCCUAACCUGAUAAGUUUUUGUUUGUUUGCUUGUUUUUUACCAAUGUCAACUGCCCUUUGUAGCGGCACUCUGAAUGUGGAUCCCUUCACUGGCUGGGAAGGUGUGAUUGAGGGGCCAUGUGCGUCCCAACCUGAAGAUGUGACAGGCCACAGCCUUGUGGGCCAAGCCUUGUGGGCCAGUAGCCCCUAGCCCCCCUCUGAGGGGUGGGGGAUUACGAUUACACCCUGCAGCCCCCACCUGGUGGAGAGGGAACAGUCAGGCUCUUGGGGGGGAGUGCGGUCAGCCCAGGUGGGUUGGCUUUGGCAGGCCAUGUGGGUUGGGUGUCCCCUGCUGGGGCAGCCACAGAGCCAGCGGGGACCCCAGACUCCAAGCAGCAGCCACUUCCUCCCGAGCCCUGGAUCUCAGUUCCUACAGCCCUUUCCCCUGCUCUGGGAGACUUGUUUAAUGUUUCAUUAAGCUCCUUUGGACCUGAAAAAUGUAAUUCUAAUUAGUACAGUGGCUUCCCUGGGAAUGCCAUUUGCCAGGCUCGAGGAACCUCUGAUGGGUGUGUUAAUUCGCAUGAGGGUCCUUGGGACCGUCUCAGCCACCAUGCAGGCAUGCAUGCUGGUUCCACCCCGGCUCUUUAAUCAGAAGUGCUGGCAGCGGCUCUAACUUCUCUGAGAUGAGUGAGAGGUAGGCCAACACCCCCUCCACCUGUCACCACUGACUGGCCCACAAGAGGGGAAGGAUCCUUCUCUGCUCUCACAAUUCCAGAGGCCCAACCCGAGGACAUAGGACCUCUCUGCUUUCCCGUUCUCCACAGCCACUGCACACGUGUCUGUCCAGCCCCCCACUUACUUAUCCAACAAGUUCUCAAGCAUCCUCUCUGUGCUGGGCCCUCUGCUGGGGAGGCAGUGAAGUCCCAUUCUGGGACGGGAGACAGGGCACACACAGAGAGACAAGACUCUGCAACGCCAGGGAGCGAAGCAGGACCAGGGAGG
rnacentral:lncRNA from 1 species